rnacentral:rRNA from 1 species
AUUGAACGCUGGCGGCAGGCCUAACACAUGCAAGUCGAGCGGAGCGGCGGACGGGUGCGGAAUGGCUAGGUAUCUGCAAGGUAGUGGGUGAUGGUGUUAGGAAACGGGCACUAAUACCGCAUACUAUCACCUUCGCAUAGGUCGGAUUCGCAGGUUGGGGGGGUAAGGGCCUACCAAGGCGACGGUCCGUAACUGGUCUGAGAGUGUGAUCAGUCACACUGGAACUGAGACACGGUCCAUCCGCCUACGGGAGGCAGCAGUGGGGAAUAUUGGACAAUGGGCGAAAGCCUGAUGCAGCCAUGCCGCGUGUGUGAAGAAGGUCGUCGGAUUGUAAAGCACUUUAAGUGGGGAGGCGUUACCAACAGAAUAAGCACCGGCUAACUCCGUGCCAGCAGCCGCGGUAAUUC